GUACUGGCUUUGGUAGCACAUGUACUAAGAUUAGAACAAUACAGAAUAGCACAGCCUCUGUGCAAAGAUGACACGUAAAUUUGUGAAGGUUUUUUUUU
ensembl:snRNA U6 U6 spliceosomal RNA